UAGAAAAUCAUGAAGAGAUGAGUAGCCUAGUUAGUGCAGUACAGAGACCUGGGGUCGGUGAAAUCCAGGCUGGAUUGCUAGUCGAAGAUGGUCUCGGAGCAUUGUAUGAGUGAGGAAACCCGAACUGGUACCGGUCGCUACCGUUAUGAAGCGUUUGGUGACAUUAAAUUUUUUUAAUGAAACUAAUUGAGACUACUCAUAAAUGAGUAGUGAACCAAGGUGGUACCACGGGUUAGCGCUCGUCCUUUAC
rnacentral:ncRNA from 1 species